AUUGAACGCUGGCGGCAGGCUUAACACAUGCAAGUCGAGCGGGGUGAUGGUGCUUGCACUAUCACUUAGCGGCGGACGGGUGAGUAAUGCUUAGGAAUCUGCCUAUCAGUGGGGGACAACAUCUCGAAAGGGAUGCUAAUACCGCAUACGUCCUACGGGAGAAAGCAGGGGAUCACUUGUGACCUUGCGCUAAUAGAUGAGCCUAAGUCGGAUUAGCUAGUUGGUGGGGUAAAGGCCUACCAAGGCGACGAUCUGUAGCGGGUCUGAGAGGAUGAUCCGCCACACUGGGACUGAGACACGGGCCAGACUCCUACGGGAGGCAGCAGUGGGGAAUAUUGGACAAUGGGGGGAACCCUGAUCCAGCCAUGCCGCGUGUGUGAAGAAGGCCUUAUGGUUGUAAAGCACUUUAAGCGAGGAGGAGGCUUACCUAGUUAAUACCUGGGAUAAGUGGACGUUACUCGCAGAAUAAGCACCGGCUAACUACGUGCCAGCCGCCGCCGUAA
rnacentral:rRNA from 1 species